GCCCCCGUAGCUCAGUGGAUAGAGCACCGGCCUCCGAAGCCGGGUGCGUGAGUUCGAUCCUCACCGGGGGCGCCA
rnacentral:tRNA from 1 species